GUGCCAGCAGCCGCGGUAAUACGUAGGUGGCAAGCGUUGUCCGGAUUUAUUGGGCGUAAAGCGAGCGCAGGCGGUUUCUUAAGUCUGAUGUGAAAGCCUUCGGCUCAACCGAAGAAGUGCAUCGGAAACUGGGAAACUUGAGUGCAGAAGAGGACAGUGGAACUCCAUGUGUAGCGGUGAAAUGCGUAGAUAUAUGGAAGAACACCAGUGGCGAAGGCGGCUGUCUGGUCUGUAACUGACGCUGAGGCUCGAAAGCAUGGGUAGCAAACAGGAUUAGAUACCCUGGUAGUCCAUGCCGUAAACGAUGAGUGCUAGGUGUUGGAGGGUUUCCGCCCUUCAGUGCCGCAGCUAACGCAUUAAGCACUCCGCCUGGGGAGUACGACCGCAAGGUUGAAACUCAAAGGAAUUGACGGGGGCCCGCACAAGCGGUGGAGCAUGUGGUUUAAUUCGAAGCAACGCGAAGAACCUUACCAGGUCUUGACAUCCUUUGACCACUCUAGAGAUAGAGCUUUCCCUUCGGGGACAAAGUGACAGGUGGUGCAUGGUUGUCGUCAGCUCGUGUCGUGAGAUGUUGGGUUAAGUCCCGCAACGAGCGCAACCCUUAUUACUAGUUGCCAGCAUUUAGUUGGGCACUCUAGUGAGACUGCCGGUGACAAACCGGAGGAAGGUGGGGACGACGUCAAAUCAUCAUGCCCCUUAUGACCUGGGCUACACACGUGCUACAAUGGAUGGUACAACGAGUUGCGAGACCGCGAGGUUUAGCUAAUCUCUUAAAACCAUUCUCAGUUCGGAUUGUAGGCUGCAACUCGCCUACAUGAAGCCGGAAUCGCUAGUAAUCGCGGAUCAGCAUGCCGCGGUGAAUACGUUCCCGGGCCUUGUACACACCGCCCGU
rnacentral:rRNA from 1 species